UCUUGCUGUUUAUAUUUGAUUUAUUUAAAUUACUUUCCUUUGGAUUGCCAGUACAUUUAAAGAAUGCUUCAUUAUUUAACGCAAACACAUAAUCAAGGCAACGUUAGUGUUGUUGUAUUUAUCAAUUGAAUUUAGACGGAUCGGAUCGUCUUUACUGAACUUGAUUAAAAACUGUUAUUCAUAACAAUAUAGGAACAAAUCUGCUAUUACAGGGGCGCAAAAUGGUGCCCAAAUGAAUACCUACAACCUGUUGAUAAAUUGUACUGCCUAAACAUACAUAGAUCAUGUCAAGGAGAUAACUUGCUGCUUUAAUCUUCUUAUCACAUAGUGACACUGCCAGAGAUGGUAUGAUGAUCAUCGCAAAGACAAAAAUAUUCGUUGAGAUUUGACAAGUAUCCCUGUUUUAGUGCUCUUUGUACAAAUGCAAUAUACAUUCUACAUGACAUAAGAUUCAAAUUGGUCAACAGAUGAUAAUAUGAAAAACCUGAAAAGAGAUUUGAAAUUAGAUUACUAUAUACAUAUGAGUACAGACAGUGUUCUAUAAUCAAAAGGUGUAUCUGGACGUUACUGAGACAGCAAAACACCUCGACGAUAAUGAAGUAGGUGGAGAGUGUUCUGACAAACCCCAACAAUUACUGGAGAUUAAAGCAGGUGCUUCAGAAAGUUAAGAAGUACUAUUCCAAUAGUUAAACCUGUUUUUUUUAUAUCAUGGCUACUGAAGGUAUAUAAUUAAAGGAGCUACUUAACUUGUAUAUAAAUAAAAAGUAAUGCUAAGUAGGUGCUACCAGAUUAGCCCCGUUUUGGAUUUUAAUAAGUUACGAUUGAUAUAAAUGUAUUGUUCCAUCAACUUGUUCUUAGAGGUUAUCAAGUUUGCGUUGUAGUAAUAUCUUUGAAUAUUGUCCUUAUCGGUACAAAUAUUGAUUUUAUUUUUGAUAGUUUAAUCAACUGUUAUCCAAGUAUCAACACGUAUGUAUUGUCCUACAUUUUGAUAUUUUGGCAUUGUAUGAUGCCUUUUCGCUAAAUCCAUCGAGGGGUACUGAUUGAUAUUUUAAUCCGGAAGGUCAAGGUAUUUUUACUUGAAAUUGGACUUUCAAUAGCUUUCAGUAACUGCAAGUACCCUUAUAUCUGUAAUGUUCUUAAAACACUCUUCCAUGCAAAUAAGGGGAUUGAGCGUUAAACCCCGCCCGGCACAUUCUUUAUGUACCUGUCCCGAGCAAGGAAUCUGUUAUCCACUGGUUGUCUUUGGUUGUUGUCUGCCAUAUUUGUAUUUUGUUGAUUGUUGUAGUAUACAUCAGGUGUUGGCUUUCUCUUUUGAAUUGUUUCAAAUUUUUUCAUACCGGGGCCUAUUAUAGCUUUCUAUACGUUAUGGAUUUUGCUCAUUGUUUAAGACCGUACUUUGGCAUGUAGUUGUUAAAUCCUUUGGUCUCCUGUGGAUAACUGUCUGAGUGGCAAUCAUACCACAUCUCCUUUUUUGUAUUGUCCUCAAUAACACAUCUUUGUCCUUUUGCUUUAUUGACAGUUGUCUCAUUUGCAAUGAUUCCACAUCUCCUUUUUUAAUAAAGGUAAAUAUAUUGCAAAGUGUUGGGUUAUUAACAAAACAAUAGAAAAUACAAUGACCAAAAGAAAACAAUAAAAUAAACAAACUUUACUUAAGCAUUUAAGCAUGUUAAAUAUAUCAUGGUAUAGCAUAAGUGGUGAGUGUCCAACAUCCGUUGAAAUCGGAUUUAUAUCAAAUAUCAAGAUAGUAAAGUUUGAUAAGGAAUAUGAUUUAUACCAAUACGCUAAAUGGAAUUUUUUAUCUUAUGAUAUAAUGUUUCUGUCGAGUUUAAUUCCGUGUACUUUUACUUGCAUGUACUGCAUUUAAUAAAAUUUUGAAAAAAAACUGAUUCAAAUUUAAAUAUAAUUGUGUGUUGACGUAAGAUGUGGUACGAUCUCUCAUUUCUAAUUAUCUAUAUUUUUGAACCAUUAAAGAGUUAACACGAUUUUCAUCGUACCAUCGAAAUUUAAAAGCCGUUGAUAUAAAUAAAUUUAUGUAUUAAAAAUUCAACUUGAUUAAUAGUUGAAAAUCUUUCAAUCAGAGGCCAAGGAAUUUUCAGUCAAUAUAAAAACAGUUAACAAGUAAAAUUCUGU